GCAUGGCUUUGGAUUUAAGAGAGAAUGUAUCCCGUGAUUCACUCUUAGUGUACUCCAUGCUAUAUAAAUAACCUACUCAAAACCAUUGUCUGGCCUGGAAAUGUUGUAGGCUUGGUACACUGAUGUGAGUAGUACAACA